UACGUAGGGUGCGAGCGUUGUCCGGAAUUAUUGGGCGUAAAGGGCUCGUAGGCGGUUUGUCGCGUCGGGAGUGAAAUCCACUGGCUUAACUGGUGGCUUGCUUUCGAUACGGGCAGACUUGAGGCAUUCAGGGGAGAACGGAAUUUCUGGUGUAGCGGUGAAAUGCGCAGAUAUCAGAAGGAACACCGGUGGCGAAGGCGGUUCUCUGGGAAUGUUCUGACGCUGAGGAGCGAAAGUGUGGGGGAGCGAACAGG
rnacentral:rRNA from 1 species